AAUAGAUACCCCAGGUAGUCCUUGCCGUAAACGAUGUAUACUUGGUGUAGCCGGACUCAACCCCGGUUGUGCCGAAGCUAACGCGAUAAGUAUACCGCCUGGGGAGUACGCUCGCAAGGGUGAAACUCAAAAGAAUUGACGGGGACCCGCACAAGCAGUGGAGCAUGUGGUUUAAUUCGAUGCAACGCGAAGAACCUUACCCAGGCUUGACAUGCAGAGGAAUUUAUCAGAAACGGUAAAGCCCUUAGGGGCCUCUGCACAGGUGCUGCAUGGCUGUCGUCAGCUCGUGCCGUGAGGUGUUGGGUUAAGUCCCGCAACGAGCGCAACCCUUAUCAUUAGUUGCCAACGAGUGAAGUCGGGAACUCUAAUGAGACUGCCUGGGUUAACCAGGAGGAAGGUGAGGAUGACGUCAAGUCCGCAUGGCCCUUAUGUCUGGGGCUACACACGUGCUACAAUGGCCGGUACAGAAGGCAGCGAAACUGUGAAGUGAAGCAAAUCCCGAAAGCCGGCCCCAGUUCAGA
rnacentral:rRNA from 1 species